GGUGCCGUGCCACCAGCAACGGAGCCCCACCAGGCACCGCACUGCGCCACUGCCCAUGGUGGACGCACGCCUCGCGGCGCGCCCACCCCGCCCGCGUGCCCCUGUCCGCCUCCCGUUUGCCGCCUCCACCGCAACGCGGCGCGCGGGGUGGCGGUGCCCUCGCGAUCCUCGUGUCGAUUCCAGCGGCGGGGGUACCUUUCCCUUUCCCUCCCCUGGCCGUUGCCCGCGCCUCGCGGUCGCGCACCGGAACCGGAGCCCCGCGGCGAAUCUAGGUUUGCCUCCGCCCCGCCCUCUCCUCCCGACACUCCCGGCGGCUGGAAUUAGGACGAGGGUAACAGGGGACGGAGGCUGCGAGGGACGCCCCCUCGUCGAAUGCACCGGCGACCGAUCUGUUGAGGAGCAGCCGGAGCACGCAGGAGUUGAGGGGAAAGCAUUGAAAAUGUCAUCUACUGUGCCGAAGUCAUCAAAUAUCUUCUGGCAUGAUUGUCCAGUUGGCAAGACUGAUCGCCAGAAGCUACUCAAGCAGAAAGGCUGUGUUGUGUGGAUUACCGGCCUUAGUGGUUCAGGUAAAAGUACGUUGGCAUGUACAUUAGGUCGGGAGCUCCACACAAGAGGGAAGCUUGCAUAUGUCCUUGAUGGUGAUAACUUAAGACAUGGUCUGAACAAGGAUCUUGGCUUUAACGCUGAAGAUCGUGCUGAAAAUAUAAGGAGAGUUGGUGAAGUAGCAAAGUUAUUUUCAGAUGCGGGCCUUGUAUGUAUUGCAAGUUUGAUAUCUCCAUAUAGGAGGGACCGUGAAUCUUGCCGUGCAAUGUUGUCUGAUGGUAGCUUUAUUGAAGUUUUCUUGAACAUGUCCUUGGAAUUGUGUGAAGCAAGGGAUCCAAAGGGCCUCUAUAAGCUUGCUCGUGCAGGAAAAAUAAAGGGUAAAGUUCAUAUGAUGGUUGGUGUCCAAAAUGGAAAUAGUUUAGAGUGCUUAGUGCUUCCUGCAGAGCAAAAUUGGUUCAAACCUGAAAUAUUUUUAAAUGUGAAUCCCAUUUCUGGCUUGUUUUGUAAUGUUAGGUUCACUGCCUAAAGAACAAUUUAAAAUACUAUUUGAGUCGAAUUAUGCUUUCUUUGGGAAGCAGCUCCUUAAUUCUGAUAUGAUUUUGCAGCUACAGUCAAAUUUUGAUGAUGCAUGUACUGUCAAUGUGAAAAUGAUUUAAUUUUCUCGAACAGGAAGGAGAGUCAAGAGUGUGUACCAUUAUAUUAAGAAUAAGAAAAAGGGUAUAAGAAACCCGUAGAACAGCCACUCACACCAGCACCUUUAGACUAAGACAAAAAUGAUCUUGACCUGGAUCUGAUAAUACACUACAAAUGGAACCUUAGGGAAUCAGAUUUUUUGGCCAUAUGCUAUGUUUAGAUUCUUCUAUUUGGUUCCUUGGCUAUACUGCAAUGACCAAUGGUGUUGCUGCUAGAAAAUGUGUAAGCUUGUAGGUUCUAUUUUGUUAAUAUGCUCUUUUUUCACAUUUGCUCACUCAUUGAUCAUGUUACUUCUGAAUGUUGAAUUUAAAUAAAUUCAACUGAUAUGUUUUGAAUCUUUACCAGACCUGAACCAUGGAGUUAGAGUUAGAGGCCAGUGCAUGGUAGGGCCCUUAAAUAUUUUCUUUUCAGGUGUCAGAAUGCCCAUUUGUAAGUUAGCUCAAAGUGUUCUCUAGUCGAGAAAUGGAAAAGCAGAAAAUGAGUAAGCCUGAAAGUUUUAACCAUUAAUCAUCUACUGUAAAAGGUAUCUUAUAUGAACAGAAACAUGUUCACUGCAAAAACUCCGUUGUGGGCAGGUCUUAUCUUCAUUUUUAAAGUCAACCUGUCUUGUUAACUCAUAUAGAGUUUAGUCAAGCUUCAAGUUUUAAACAUGGUUUGUUGCAGGUUUUACAGGAAUAGAUGACCCUUAUGAAGCACCACUGAAUUGCGAGAUUGAGAUCAAAGAAGCUGAUGGUGUAUGCCCUUCGCCUUCUGACAUGGCAGGGCAAGUGGUUACUUACCUUGAGGAGAAAGGCUUCCUGCACGAGUAGACUGAAUCCAAGCAACAUUCAGGGAAGAUUUCAAUCAGACUAGCGCAGAAUAAGUCAGACGCGCUGGCAGUUACCACAUAGUUACAUAGAUUGAUCUGAAUGCGUUAGUAUUUUUCUUUCCGCAAUUCCUCUGCCACAAAUUCCAUGCAGUUUCAUUCAGAUGAACCUAGAUGGUUCCUGAUUUCUUUGACUUCUGGAAUAGAUUACCUGUAUGCAAUUCUGAUAACCACUUGGGGGCAAUGGCAAUCAUUUUCAGGGGAAGGUACACCUAAUGUUAA